rnacentral:rRNA from 1 species
AUUGAACGCUGGCGGCAGGCCUAACACAUGCAAGUCGAACGCGUGGCGGACGGGUGAGUAAUAUAUGGGAAACUGCCCGAUGGGGGGGGAUACCUACUGGAAACGGUAGAUAAUACCGCAUACUAUCGGCAGCGCCCAGAUGGGUAUCGCUAGUUGGUGGGGUAAUGGCUCACCUAGGAGACUAUCCCUAGCUGGUCUGAGAGGAUGACCAGCAACACUGGGACUGAGACACGGCCCAGACUCCUACGGUAGGAAGCAGUGGGGAAUAUUGCACAAUGGGGGCAAGCCUGAUGCAGCCAUGCCGCGUGUAUGAAGAAGGCCUUCGGGUUGUAAAGUACUUUCAGCGGGGAGGCGUUACUCGCAGAAGAAGCACCGGCUAACUCCGUGCCAGCAGCCGCGGUAAUUC